rnacentral:misc_RNA from 1 species
UUCUUCUUCAUCUUCAUCUUCUACUUCGAGUACAGUUUCUUCAGAUUUCGGAUCUUUGGUAGAACCGGGUUUUACCCGAUUAAACGAUCCGAAUUUGGGGGUAACUUCAGGAGUUGAACAACCGGAGAAUUUCGAGUCGAACGAGAAGGAAAAUCCAAAAUUAGAACCUGAAUUGACGGAAUCGAAUUUAUCUAAAGCACUUGGACAGUUUUUUCUUCUCUUCGCCUGACGUAUGAUAUCUGGAUCUUCUAUCUCCGGCUUCUCUUCCCAACUUUCUGCGGUAGUCGGAGGUGACGGAUCAUCGCCGGAAUUCGAAUUUGACGGCGCCGGAUCUGAGCAGUUUUCCGCCGGAGCUUGAUCGGAUUUUGCCUUCUCCAUUUUGGCAGUUAGGGAUUAGAGAGAGUUGAGCUCGGGUUUG